rnacentral:lncRNA from 1 species
GGGACUUCAAGCCAAUAUGGAUAAAAGCUCUUUAUAUAUAGCAGGUGUUUCAACUGAAUUCAAAAAGAAGAUUUGUUCCGAACUAAACCUCACGGAGGGCGCCUUCCCCUUCAAAUACCUAGGAGUGCCCCUAUCUACAAAAAAAAAACUCAAUAUAUCACUGUGUAUGCCCCUAGUGGAAAAGAUAGUGGACAGAAUCAGAAGCUGG